rnacentral:rRNA from 1 species
UGGGGAAUAUUGCACAAUGGGCGCAAGCCUGAUGCAGCCAUGCCGCGUGUAUGAAGAAGGCCUUCGGGUUGUUAAAGAUACUUUCAGCGAGGAGGAAGGCAUUAAGGUUAAUAACCUUGGUGAUUGACGUUACUCGCAGAAGAAGCACCGGCUAACUCCGUGCCAGCAGCCGCGGUAAUACGGAGGGUGCAAGCGUUAAUCGGAAUUACUGGGCGUAAAGCGCACGCAGGCGGUCUGUCAAGUCGGAUGUGAAAUCCCCGGGCUCAACCUGGGAACUGUAUUCGAAACUGGCAGGCUAGAGUCUUGUAGAGGGG